rnacentral:rRNA from 1 species
GACGAACGCUGGCGGCGUGCUUAACACAUGCAAGUCGAACGGAAAGGCCCUGCUUUUGUGGGGUGCUCGAGUGGCGAACGGGUGAGUAACACGUGAGUAACCUGCCCUUGACUUUGGGAUAACUUCAGGAAACUGGGGCUAAUACCGGAUAGGAGCUCCUGCUGCAUGGUGGGGGUUGGAAAGUUUCGGCGGUUGGGGAUGGACUCGCGGCUUAUCAGCUUGUUGGUGGGGUAGUGGCUUACCAAGGCUUUGACGGGUAGCCGGCCUGAGAGGGUGACCGGCCACAUUGGGACUGAGAGACGGCCCAGACUCCUACGGGAGGCAGCGGUGGGGAAUAUUGCACAAUGGGCGGGAGCCUGAUGCAGCAACGCCGCGUGCGGGAUGACAGCCUUCGGGUUGUAAACCGCUUUCGCCUGUGACGAAGCGUGAGUGACGGUAAUGGGUAAAGAAGCACCGGCUAACUACGUG